rnacentral:rRNA from 1 species
CAAUAGAUACCCAGGUAGUCCUAGCUGUAAACGAUGAGCACUGGGUUGAGGGGACUUCCACAUCCUCUCGGCCGUAGCGAAAGCGUUAAGUGCUCCGCCUGGGGAGUAUGGCCGCAAGGCUGAAACUCAAAGGAAUUGACGGGGGCUCACACAAGCGGUGGAGGAUGUGGCUUAAUUCGAGGCUACGCGAAGAACCUUAUCCUAGAUUUGACAUGGUUGAGAAUCUCCUUGAAAGAGGAGAGUGCCCUUCGGGGAGCUCUUUCACAGGUGCUGCAUGGCUGUCGUCAGCUCGUGUCGUGAGAUGUUGGGUUAAGUCCCUUAACGAGCGAAACCCUUAUCUUUAGUUGCCGGCGGGUCAAGCCGGGGACUCUAAAGAGACUGCCGGUGUCAAACCGGAGGAAGGUGGGGAUGACGUCAAGUCCUCAUGGCCUUUAUGUCUAGGGCUGCACACGUCCUACAAUGGCACGUACAAAGGGAAGCCAAGCCGCGAGGCCGCGCUAAUCCCAAAAAGCGUGCCCCAGUUCGGAUUGCAGG